UAGGUUGAAGCCAGUUGUUUAGGGUAUUUAGCUGUUAACUAAAUUUUCGUGGGUUGAUGUCCCACCAACCUAG
rnacentral:tRNA from 1 species